ACUUGCUUAGUUUAUUUAGAAUAGAAGUUUGUGGUAUUUCAGGAGGUAGUUACCAGCGAGUA
rnacentral:tRNA from 1 species